rnacentral:lncRNA from 1 species
CUUGGUCAUUACUUGUUGGAGCAGCUGCAGUUUUCUCCUCUUCCCCAACCAAUAUGCAGAAUACUUGAUUAGAACUUCAUUGUAACAGGUUCAGUAUUAUCUUUAUAUUGUGCACUGACCUCUUAAGAAAGGGGGUGUGUGAGGCAGAUAGAGAAUAAGGACCAUCAGUGAAUCAAUAUAGGUGAACUAACUCCAGAAGUAAAAACGCAUUGGAGAGAAGCAAUAUUACAUUAUUUUUGUAUUGUCUGCAACACCUGAGCCUUGAG